rnacentral:rRNA from 1 species
CCUACGGGUGGCAGCAGUGGGGAAUAUUGGACAAUGGGCGAAAGCCUGAUCCAGCCAUGCCGCGUGUGUGAAGAAGGCCUUCGGGUUGUAAAGCACUUUCAGUGGGGAAGAAAGCCUUGGGGCUAAUACCCUCGAGGAAGGACAUCACCCACAGAAGAAGCACCGGCUAACUCCGUGCCAGCAGCCGCGGUAAUACGGAGGGUGCGAGCGUUAAUCGGAAUUACUGGGCGUAAAGCGCGCGUAGGCGGUCUGAUAAGCCGGUUGUGAAAGCCCCGGGCUCAACCUGGGAACGGCAUCCGGAACUGUCAGGCUAGAGUGCAGGAGAGGAAGGUAGAAUUCCCGGUGUAGCGGUGAAAUGCGUAGAGAGCGGGAGGAAUACCAGUGGCGAAGGCGGCCUUCUGGACUGACACUGACGCUGAGGUGCGAAAGCGUGGGUAGCAAACAGGAUUAGAUACCCCAGUAGUC